CUAAAUGGAAGCUUAUCACUGUUCAUAGUCAUGGGAUCAUUUGGCCAAUGGGGGAACCUGGGAGGCAGUCCUUCCUAUGUUGGUUGAAGGAGAGCUUUGCUUCUCGUGGCAUACAGGGACCCACCCUUAUGGCAUGACUUCAAAGUUAUGUGACAUGGUGGUGCAGCUGGAAGAUGAGGAAAGUGAACAACGUUGGAGAGGCCCCACCUACUCUUGACUGUCUCUGCUGGAAGUGAUUCAACACUCCUCUUUAAAUUUCAUUGAUAAGGAAAACCCCCAUGAGAGAAAGUAACUUGAUCAACAUCACACAGCUAGGUGGGAGUGGUGGCUUCUGCCUGUAAUCCAAGCACUUUGGGAGGACGAGGCAGGCAGAUCGCUUGAGCCCAGGAGUUUGAAACCAGCCUGGGCAACAUGAGGAAACCUUGCCUCUAUAAAAUAAACAAAAAUUAACCAGG
rnacentral:lncRNA from 10 species